AGAUUUCACAGUUCAUUUUCUCUUCUUUUCUUUGAAAUAAUCCUUGAUUUUGAAUCUAAAGAUUGGAGGAUCUGGAGCCUUGAUUUUCAACCUGAAGAUUGGAGCAACGAGAAGAGAUUCAACUACGCGUCCCUUCUCACGAAUCCUUACAAUCUCUAUGUCUCUCCUUACCUUAGAUUCCCACCAGUUACACAACCAAAACUGUCAUCCAACACCUACGAGGCUACAAGAUGCCUGGCUCCGACGGAGUAAUCACCUUCCCAAACUUUACAUUGCUGCCCGGAUCUUUUGGGGCUGAGGAACUCCAUUAUGCAGAGCUUCCGGUCUCCAAUCUGCUAGGCGAAAGAGCUUCAGCAUGUAAAGCUUGCUGAUCCGGCUCAAGAAGUUGACAUAAGCACUUUGAUAUAGCAAAGUGAGCAAUGCUACUUGUGGUAAUUGAUAUGGUUAGGGAAUGGAUUGAAUUAAAUUGAUUUAUUACCUUGUUCGUGCCUAUUUUCUUAACUCAUAGCAUGCUUGCAGAAGAAUUUUGCUAGCUUCUGCAAUGACUAUUAUAUUUAUUGUUUUCAAUGAAUUAAGUUUGCACUUUACUUCCAAAUAACAUCAUUUACAGUGUUCUUUUGUAUGUGAUAAUUGUGCAUCAGCAACAGGUCAAUCUUUUGAGAAUAAUGAUAGAGUAGUGAACUCCUACAUUUCAGGUGCAUGGUCAAGGUUUAAGAACUACCAAGAGUAUUAUAGAUAAGGCUAAACAUGGCAG
rnacentral:lncRNA from 1 species